AGCACGCCGCGUGAGGGAUGACGGCCAUUCGGGUUGUAACCUCUUUUAGUAAGGAAGAAGAACUUCGGUUUGACGGUACUUGCAGAAGAAGCACCGGCUAACUACGUGCCAGCAGCCGCGGUAAUACGUAGGGUGCAAGCGUUGUCCGGAAUUAUUGGGCGUAAAGAGCUCGUAGGCGGUUUGUCGCGUCUGCUGUGAAAUCUGGAGGCUCAACCUCCAGCCUGCAGUGGGUACGGGCAGACUAGAGUGCGGUAGGGGAGAUUGGAAUUCCUGGUGUAGCGGUGGAAUGCGCAGAUAUCAGGAGGAACACCGAUGGCGAAGGCAGAUCUCUGGGCCGUAACUGACGCUGAGGAGCGAAAGCAUGGGGAGCGAACAGGAUUAGAUACCCUGGUAGUCCAUGCCGUAAACGUUGGGAACUAGAUGUAGGGGCCAUUCCACGGUUUCUGUGUCGCAGCUAACGCAUUAAGUUCCCCGCCUGGGGAGUACGGCCGCAAGGCUAAAACUCAAAGGAAUUGACGGGGGCCCGCACAAGCGGCGGAGCAUGCGGAUUAAUUCGAUGCAACGCGAAGAACCUUACCAAGGCUUGACAUAUACCGGAAACCUGCAGAAAUGUAGGCCCCGCAAGGUCGGUAUACAGGUGGUGCAUGGUUGUCGUCAGCUCGUGUCGUGAGAUGUUGGGUUAAGUCCCGCAACGAGCGCAACCCUCGUUCUAUGUUGCCAGCACGUUAUGGUGGGAACUCAUAGGAGACUGCCGGGGUCAACUCGGAGGAAGGUGGGGAUGACGUCAAAUCAUCAUGCCCCUUAUGUCUUGGGCUUCACGCAUGCUACAAUGGCCGGUACAAAGGGCUGCGAUACCGUAAGGUGGAGCGAAUCCCAAAAAGCCGGUCUCAGUUCGGAUUGAGGUCUGCAACUCGACCUCAUGAAGUCGGAGUCGCUAGUAAUCGCAGAUCAGCAACGCUGCGGUGAAUACGUUCCCGGGCCUUG
rnacentral:rRNA from 1 species